GCAGUAUGAUGUGCCGUGUUGGCAGUGUGGUAGCCCCUUCUGUGUGUACCUGGCUGAUGUCUGGAUCUACCUACCUCAGCUCAUUGUGGGAAUCCUGGCAUUCGUAAUUGGAGUGCUGACAAUGUUGUUGCCUGAGACCCUGGGCAAACCUUUAACAACCACCUUGGAAGAGGCAGAAGCUCUGGGACGGAAAAAAAAGGAUGGAAUGGAGAUGAACCUACAUGGAGCCAAGGCAUGAGCUUUACAUGCUGGUAAAUAGGAGAGACAGAAACACACGGAGAAAAGCAUUGGAACAGAAUGGAGGUGAUGGCUGCAACAACUGUAACAUCAUUGAUUUGGAAAAAAAGAAAAAAAAAGCUUUUAUCAGAACUCUUCAAGUGACGCUUUUGUUGACGUUUUGUUCUGUAAAGUGACCAGUUUAAACACUAUAGAAAAUCUUCUGCCUGCAUACAAAUAUCAGUAAUGAAGUGAUCAGUCACAGAUACAGUGCAGUCAGAACAGAACAGUCCAUGAAUUCAGUGUUCAAGAAAAUCAUGUGCUCUGUGUGUGUGUGUGUGUGUGUGUGUGUGUGUGUGUGUGUGUGUGUGUGUAUGUGAGUGUGUGAGUGAAUGUGUGUGCAUAUGCCUGUGUGCAUGUAAGUUCUGUGUCUAUGGAAGCAUGAAGGAUAUUAAAGGAUCAUUUCAGUUUAUGAUAAUUUCAGUCUUAUUUUGUAGUUUUGCCCAUUAUGUCUGUUAGUUAUAAUAAUUCUGUAUUCACCAAAGUAAUUACAGAGGUCUUGGAACACAGUACCACUACCACAGCAACAGUCAGACAGGCCAGACAAAAUGAGCAGUCAGAUGAUUGGAGAGGUUGUAAACAAGCCAAUAGUUUAGCCAGUAUGAUAGGUCAAAGUUGGAAUUUGGCUUCAAAGUAGGGCUAAAUUGAGGGUUUGUUUAAAACCUGCCUGAUCAUCUGGCUGCUCAUGUUUAUUUCCGCAUUGAACUUCUUUUUAGUGAUGUUGCAGUGAUCCCAGAUUUCAGCCUACUGUAGUGAGAACAUUGUUAAUAUGACUAAUGGGACUGAUGACCAAAACAACAACAAUAAGACUUCUUGUAAAGUAAAGAUGUCAUGCAUCAUGCAUCAAAGAAGUGCCUUAUUUUUUAUUUUAAAGUCGCCUUUUUUUUUUUUUAAAUCUCAGGGCAUCCACUUUUGGAUAUCACUGUGAAGCUAACAUAUUGAAGGUCACUCUGUUCGAUAUUAUCCUCAGUUCCAUCUUGUUUAAGAUGACAUUGCUGAAUUUUAACUAUCUAAUGUGUGUGUGUGUGUGUGUUAGUGAGUACAGUAGUGAAGUAAGUUGGUACCCUAGCUCUCUACAUACUUAUACUGGGUAUGAAAUCUUGGUGCUCAGCAUUUGGAAGGAAUUUAGGAAAAGAAAGUAUUUAAAGUGAUACUGCAUUACUCUAUGCUCAAGAAUCAAGGUGUGAUUGCCACAUGUUUGGACCAAAGACAGAAAUGAACCAUAACAUUAUGGCAUUGUAUUCACUUGCUUUGCAAUAUUGUGCUUCACUACUAGCAUGUUUUUGUUUCAUAUCAAACUUCUGUUGUGUAUUAAAAUGAGAACAAAAAAAUCAUGACAAUCAACUUAUAUCCAAACAGUGAUGACAUCUAAUCACCAGGUGAUGAAAGUACUGUGUUCUAGUGUGUACUAGUGUUCAGUUCUGAACAGUUUUACAAUCAUGGAAUUUUUGUAUGAAUAGUUUAUUUGUUAGUAUUAUUUUUAUUUCAUUAUGUAAAAAUAAAUAAGGUGGCUAACCCCAAGGUUGCUGGCCUCUUCAAAACUA